GGCAGUGGUGGUGUAGUGGUUCAAGUGUUGGACUAUGACUCUAGAGACCAGGGUUCGAAUCCCCACUCGGUCA